GGGUAACUCAGUUGGUUAGAGCGUGGUGCUGGCAACACCAAGAUUGCAGGUUCGAUCCCCGUAUGGUACA